rnacentral:rRNA from 1 species
AAUAAGAUUUUAAAUGAGUGCUAAGAGAAUGGUUGAACAAUUAGAGGCUUUCUUUAAUUAAAUAAUUAAAUUUGAUUUUUUAGUGCAAAAGCAAAAAUUUAAAUUAGGGACAAGAAGACCCUAUGAAUUUUUAUUUUUUUUAAAUUUUUUAUUUUAAAAAAAGUUUAAUUGGGGUGAUAAAAAAAGAAUAAGUAUCUUUUUUAAAUAAAAGUUGGUUCCGUUUUUAGCGAUUAAAUGAAAAAAAUACUCUAGGGAUAACAGCGUAAUAAUUUUGGAUAGUUCAUAUAGAUAAAAUAGUUUGCGACCUCGAUGUUGGAUUAGGAUUCUUUUUCGGUGAAGAAGU